rnacentral:rRNA from 1 species
AUUGAACGCUGGCGGCAGGCCUAACACAUGCAAGUCGAGCGGAGCGGCGGAUGGGUGAGUAAUGCCUAGGAAUCUGCCUGGUAGUGGGGGCUAACGUCCGGAAACGGGCGCUAAUACCGCAUACUAUCAGAUGAGCCUAGGUCGGAUUAGCUAGCUGGUGGGGUAAAGGCCUACCAAGGCGACGAUCGGUAACUGGUGUGAGAGGAUGAUCAGUCACACUGUAACUGAGAAACGGCCCAGACACCUACGGGAGGAAGCAGUGGGAAAUAUUGGACAAUGGGCGAAAGCCUGAUCCAGCCAUGCCGCGUGUGUGAAGAAGGUCUUCGGAUUGUAAAGCACUUUAAGUUGGGAGGCGUUACCAACAGAAUAAGCACCGGCUAACUACGUGCCAGCCGCCGCGGUAAUAC